UCCAUAGGCGGUGUGGCAAGUCGGUAGUGAAAUCUCUCGGCUUAACUGAGAGGCUGCUGCCGAAACUGCCAUGCUCGAGUGCGAGAGAGGCGAGUGGAAUUGCGGGUGUAGCGGUGAAAUGCGUAGAUAUCCGCAGGAACAUCCGAGGCGAAAGCGGCUCGCUGGAUCGCAACUGACGCUGAGGGACGAAAGCUAGGGGAGCAAACAGGAUUAGAUACCCUGGUAGUCCUAGCCCUAAACCAUCAGGACUUGGGGUUUGCCCUGUACGGGGCAAGUCCCGGAGCUAACGCGUUAAGUCCUGCGCCUGGGGAGUACGGUCGCAAGGCUGAA
rnacentral:rRNA from 1 species